AUUCUCUUAGUUCAAUGUUAGAACCACAUUUAGUUAAAUGUAAAUUUUGGUUAAACUCCAAAAGGGAAUA
rnacentral:tRNA from 1 species